rnacentral:rRNA from 1 species
UACGGAGGGUGCGAGCGUUAAUCGGAGUUACUGGGCGUAAAGGGCGCGUAGGCGGUUAGAUAAGUGAGAUGUGAAACCCCCGGGCUUAACCUGGGAAUGGCAUCUUAUACUGUUUAGCUAGAGUACUGUAGAGGGUAGUGGAAUUUCCGGUGUAGCGGUGAAAUGCGUAGAGAUCGGAAGGAACACCCGUGGCGAAGGCGGCUACCUGGACAGAUACUGACGCUGAGGCGCGAGAGCGUGGGGAGCAAACAGG